rnacentral:rRNA from 1 species
AACGAACGCUGGCGGCGUGCCUAACACAUGCAAGUCGAACGGAAUUGAGGGGCUUGCUCUUCAAUUUAGUGGCGCACGGGUGAGUAACGCGUGGAUAAUCUGCCUGACGAUCUGGGAUAACAUCUCGAGAGGGGUGCUAAUACCGGAUAAGCCCACGGGAACUUCGGUUUUUGCGGGAAAAGGGGGGGACCUUUUGGCCUCCUGUCGUCAGAUGAGUCCGCGUACCAUUAGCUAGUUGGUAGGGUAAAGGCCUACCAAGGCUACGAUGGUUAGCUGGUUUGAGAGAAUGAUCAGCCACACUGGAACUGGAACACGGUCCAGACUCCUACGGGAGGCAGCAGUGGGGAAUUUUGCGCAAUGGGCGAAAGCCUGACGCAGCAACGCCGCGUGAGUGAUGAAGGCUUUCGGGUCGUAAAGCUCUGUCAGAGGGAAAGAAGUGUAUUGUGGCUAAUAUCCGCGAUACUUGACGGUACCCUCAAAGGUAGCACCGGCUAACUCCGUGCCAGCAGCCGCCGUAACAC